rnacentral:tRNA from 1 species
GUCCUAAUGGCGGAAUGGUAGACGCGUUAGUUUCAGAUGCUAAUAAUCAUUGAUUGUGGGGGUUCAAGUCCCCCUUGGGACACCA